UACAGAGGUCUCAAGCGUUGUUCGGAUUUACUGGGCGUAAAGGGCGCGUAGGCGGCAUGACAAGUCACUUGUGAAAUCUCCGGGCUUAACUCGGAACGGCCAAGUGAUACUGUCGCGCUAGAGUGCGGAAGGGGCAAUCAGAAUUCUUGGUGUAGCGGUGAAAUGCGUAGAUAUCAAGAGGAAUACCUGAGGUGAAGACGGGUUGCUAGGCCGACACUGACGCUGAGUGCGCGAAAGCCAGGGGAGCAAACGGG
rnacentral:rRNA from 1 species